rnacentral:lncRNA from 1 species
UACUACAUCGUUAAGUAUUGUCACAGGUUGUUCAGUCUCUUUAGAAACUUGGAUGAUUUGAUUCUGAGUGUCUUCUGCAGAGAUAGAACUUUGAUUCUAAGUGUCUCCUGCAAAGAUAGAGAUCUCCCCCUGUGGGGGAUGCUUAGAAUCUUCCCCUGAGUAGUAGAAUUCAUCCUCAAGAAAAGUAACAUCUGUAGUGACGUACAAUGUCUGAGUAGGAGGAUGGAAGCAUUUAUAUCCCUUCUGAGUGUCUAUAUAUCCUACAAAGACACAACGUAGUGCGCAUGGAUCGAGUUUGCUGCGUUGAUGUGGAUAUACCUGAACAUAGGCAACACAACCAAAGACCCGAGGUUCAAGGUUUGGUGUAGACGAUAUAGUAAGAAGAGUGGUCAAUGUCUGAAAUGGAGUUUGAUACUGGAGGGUGCUAGAUGGUGUUCGAUUAAUCAAGUAAGCAGCGGAACAAAGUGCCUUUCCCCAAAAAUAAUGUGGCAUGUGGGCAUCAAAUAAGGAAGCACGAACAACUUCCAAGAGGUGUCUAUUCUUACGUUCUGCUACACCAUUUUGUUGUGGUGUAUAUGCACACGUAGUCUGAUGAAUUAUACCAUUGUGACUCAAAAAACCUUGAAGGUCUUUGUUGACAUACUCUCCUCCAUUGUCAGACCUAAGUACUAAAAUUUUCUUAUCAAACUGAGUAGUAACAUAUUGAUGGAAUUGUUUGAAUUUUGGAGUGACUUCACUUUUCUGUUUCAUGGGAAAAAUCCAAGUCAUUCGGAUACAGUCAUCUAUAAAUGUCACAAACCACUUAAAGCCAUGAAUAGUGGAAACUUUUGAUGGUCCCCAAACAUCGGAAUGAACAAUCAUAAAUGGCAUAGAACUUUUAUUUAAUCGUAGUGGGUGAGAAAUACGAUGGCCCUUUGCCAAAAUGUAAGUUUCAUAAUGAAAAUCUGAUUCAGUAAAUUGAGAAAAUAAAUCAGGAAAUAAAAGUUUCAGAUAACCAAAUGAGGUAUGUCCUAAACGUCUAUGCCACAGCCAAAUCUUCUUCAUCUGGACCGAUGUAUCUCCUCUUACAAGAUGAGCUUCACUUAAUCUUUUACUGCAAUCUUUUGUUAAGUCCAGAUAAUACAACUUUCCCUUCCUAGUACCACAUCCAAUCACGAUUCUGGUGUGAAGAUCCUGGAAGAGACAAUACAAUGGCCAAAAGCACACAGUACAGUUAAGAGAGUCAAUGAUUUGAGAAACAGAUAAUAAUUCAUAGUCAAGUGACAGGACAACUAAGAC